rnacentral:misc_RNA from 1 species
UCACUCGCAGUUUCGAGCCAAGUUUUCUGCCAUGCACACGACCGAACUUUGAUAAUAUAUUUUUUUUUCGAACUUAGGUUUAAGGAUAUUUAUUACGAACGUUUAAGUGUGCUUAGUGUAAUGUUUCUGUGAGUUAUUUAUUCUAAACGACGUAUGUUUGUGUAUUCAGUGUGAUUUUAGCGAAUAGUCAUGGCGACUUACGAUAAUGCUACUGUCGAAGCCACGAUCUCUGCCACAGUCUCGGACAACGAUGACGACGAUCCCCACACAACCAAUACCCUCCCUACGUCCGACGAUGGUGCGCAGUAUCGUGCAUCUGGAGAGUCGAUGGUGACGAUGACGAUGGUCAGUCAAGGAAAGAAGGAGGAGAAAGAAAAUCCCACGUCACACACAGAAGAUAAGGAGGAACAGAAGAGAUCACUCCCCUUCAUCAGGAUACCAAAACUGAAGCGCGAGAAGUCUUACUCUGAGACUCUCGAGAGGAAGAAGAAGAGAGUCAAGUUCUCCCCCAACGAUGGCGACAAUGACGUCAUAGUAGACACACGCGUGUUUGAGCCCCAGCUGGUCGACUCGUGCCAGAGGGAAGACGCGGGCAAAGAUGAUAACGUGGUGUCCUCGACGAUAAAGAAACUCCUGAGAAAGAGUUCAAAGAAGAGAAAGGCGAGUAUUGAAACACAGACGGAAGAGAAGAAAGAUGAAGACAAGGAUAAACACGAUCACAAGGUCAGGAAAGGUGAUCAAGAAACACCUGAAGGAGAAUUAAGUAUCCUGGGUGACGUGGAGCCGCCUUCCCCUGACAGCCAGAGUGAACAGGAGGGUGACGAACCUCUCGAUAUUGAUGCCAGUGACCACACAGGUAACGUCAGCUCUCCAGACAGUAAUAUACCGAAAUCUCCACCUGCCAGAGCCUCAGAUGAGUCCUUGAGCCUCAUGCAGCCUUCCUCCGGGUUAGUCACAGCUAAUACAGGUGACGGUGCCAACUGUGACGUCAGUGCUGAGGCCGUGGUGCCAACAGUGCCAUGUCCUACGAAGAAAGAAGGUGAAGACGUGACAAAGUCUGAUAGCAAUGAACCUUGUUUGUCUACCUUAGAGAGACACACAGAUACAGCAGUACCUGAAGUUAAUAAUGACUCCGACCAGAGGAUAAAUAGUCUAAAUCAGACUCUUAAUAAUUCAAGGAAAUUCCCUGAUGAGAAAUAUGAAUAUGAUGCAGGAGUUCCCCGUCAGGUUGCCUCUCUCUCGGAAGAGCAGGAGCUGGAAAUAAGUGAAUUCAGCAAAAGUGGCGAGGAACUACUGACCCUAGCCAUAUCAAACGACUCUAGUCCCACAUCCUCUCAGGUGACCGUCAAGCGUGAGGGCACCUUCACCUUGGACGGUUCCCCUCCAGCCAAAAUCACGAAGCCAUCCUGCGACGCUGAUGGUGCGGUCGCUGAGGGUACGGUCCCCAAACUGCCCCCAAGAGACAGUCUCAUGGAACCUCUCCAGUUCUUUGUUGACCUCAACGUACCAGAACUAUUAGCGUUAAAAGAUUCUCCUGAAGUUCUUUUGGCUUCAGAAAAUAAGAACAAUAAGGAUUCUGUUGUACCAGUAGCUAAGAUUUCUCCAAGAACAAGUAAACCUAGCAAGCCAAUAGGCAGUAAUAAAAAGACUGAUGAUCAGAAUUCUUCCAUAACAACUUUAAAGAACAAUGCCAAGAGAACUUUUGUAAACGCUUGGAGAACAGCCACUAAGACACAGGAGACUCUGAACAAUCCCUUGAAACCUGUGCUGAAGACUCCUCGAGAACCAUCAACACCGAGGUCGUCCCCAGCUAAAUUAGCCCAGGCGAAAACCCCCAGGACCAACACGGUCCGGAAGCAGACCGACGCCAAGACCUCGAAGUCCGUGACCUGGGAUAGGCAGCUGAUACCGAAGAAGGAACCUCGAGAGCCUCCUGGUGGACGUAGCCGGGAGCCCACCAGGAGUCUUCCCCGCCAGGAGUCUGCGAGGUCACCCCCAGAGAGGAGCUCAGUAUGGGGUGGGGUGUCGCUGCCAACCUUCAGGAGGGAGGGAACCUUCACCAAGAAGUACGACUCCGAGAGGGACCGCCUGCAGGCCGAGUGUAACAGACUCAGCGUCGAGAAGGAAAGGCUUCAGAGCGAACUGAGUGAGGCACGCACGAGGCUGGAGGAAGAGGCAGUGGCCAGGAAGGCUCUAAGACGCACGCACGACCUCAACCUGAGACACCUGAGGGAGGGCGAACUCAGGAGGACCGAGUUACUCCUUGGAGACAUGAAGAAUAGACUGGAGGACGAGAAACGCGAGGCUCUGGCGCAACAGAAGGAGGCGCUGACGAGAACCCACGAAUCCGACUUGAUGCGGGUAGACCGGGAGAGGGACGAGGACUACCGGCGGCUGCUACAGGAGGCCAGGAACACCCAAGAGAAACUCAAGGCCGAGAUACGACGAGAAUCUUACAGAUCUGAACAUCCUCCCUUGCAGUGUUGCCACAGUACAGAUCGUGACCUGGAUAGAUUGAAUCGAGAUUUGUCAACGCUGCGCGAACACAAGAAGCGACUGGAGGAAGCAGUUCUGACCCUUCAGGAGACAGAGCGUAAGCGUGCCAGUGAGCUCCGGAGACUGCACGAGGAGCACGAAGCUGCCAUCGCUAAGAUACAUAGAGGCAACAAGUCCGAGGCAGCGCGACUGCUGGAUGAACUUCGGGCCAAGGAGCGGACCAUCGGCCAGUUGGAACGGCAGGUCAGCGCACAGUCCGCCAAACUCCGCCUACACGAUGAGAAGCAACGCGAGGGAAGCAACGAUCGAGGCGAGGAUGUUACCAGGAGGCAAACGGUACGUAUCAUUACUGAGGAGAAGAGGGAACUAAGUGACAGGAGACAGAGAACGUCUCGCGGCGGAGGGUCUGGUGCGUCCAAUAAGAAGCAGAGAGAAACUUGUAACAGCAGUACUAAGGAUGGCCGCCCCCGCGAGAAGGAGCCAUGUGUCAGCCACAACAACAACACCACCACCACUCGCCACCACCACCACCAUCUCCAACCCAACCAACCAGGCAGCGGACGACCAGAGAGCGUAGUGGAGAAGACUACGACUACUACCCCAGACGACCACGACCACAUCGCCCAGCCACCACCACCACCAGCCAUGGCAGCGGAGGUCGACCAGAUCAGGGUUCACCUACAGCAGCAGAAUACCCAAAUUGAGGAACAGAUUCAGCAGAUAGUAUUACAGAGGCAAGAGUGGGAGGAUGAACGGCAGCAGUUACUCAAGCGUUUGGAACAACAGCAGGAGCAGUUCGAAGCGGAGAAACAGAAAUAUGAAGAACAGCUGGAGGAUAAAUUACUACAGGUGGAGGAGCAGAAGCAAGUGAUGGAGGCGCAGAAGCAUGUGAUGGAGGAACAGAAACAGGUCAUGGAGGAACAGCAGCUGAGGAUUGAGGAUCUCGCUGAGGAGAUUAUGGAGCGGGAGUGCCUAGUACCUCCUCCCCCUACGUCGUGGCCCCCGAGGAGGGAGUCCUGCGUCAAGGUGUGUGAGCUGCCCACGGUACUGGAACUAAAUAGCGAAGAUGAGAGCACGCCCACAUCCACCACGCCUACCACGCCCACCACGCCCACCAAGCCUCAGCAGAACCACGCCCUUGAUCAAUUCUCGGCCUUCACUCUGGAGGAGCCGUGUGCGCCCUCAGCCCUUCUCACGCCCACCACUCCAGGCACCGAACCACCAGAUUGGCCUAAGGUUAAUGAGAAGGAAAUCGACAACCAGUUUGUUCACCUGUCAAGAGAACACCAGGAGCUGCAGAAGUCGUAUCAGCUGCUGGCAUCCACCUCAGCGGCCGGCUCACCUGUCGUCGAUUUCUCGGGCAAAGAGGGUCCGGCGACGUGGUGGUUGUCGGCUCGAGUGCUGGAACUGGAAGCCCUGGCGGCGACACUGAGGGUGGAGCUGCAGGAGACGAGGGACCAGGCUGACCUGCUGGAGUUCCGCUGUCUGGAGCUGACCGAGGGCGCUGACAGGGGAUCAGAGUCGGUUGCAACGGUAGAAACGCGCGACCAAUCAACUAGCACCGACUUGGAUGACGUCAGUAGUGCUGUAACCAAUGAGGACUUGUCGCUGCCGCUCUCUAUAGAUUCGGGAGUCGACAUAUCCAACGAUUAUAAGAAGGCGCGCGUGUCUGAAGGGCGGGUGUGGCUGGCUCAGCUAUCCCGCGCGGCCGGCGACCAGGAGAAUCCCGCCGCCCACCACCUGGCCGCCCUCCUCGACUGGGUGGCUGCCCUUCCCACUCACACCCAUCAUGCCUUGUCUUCACCCAUGAGCCCCACUCUGGCCACGCCCACGCCCACACCCAAGAAUAGGAUGGGCGUGGAGGAGCUAGGCUGUGACCUAGGGCGGGACCUGAUGCUGCUGGCCGCCCGCCUGCAGGAGUCUCUUACAGACCCUGCUGCCCAGGAGCCCGUCCUGCUUGACACCAUCACGAAACUACGUAUGCUUGACAGCACCCUAUCAGAGCUUCAGGAACGUGUGGUGAACCUGACGGAGGAAAAUCGUGAGUUACAGGAGGCGGUAACAAACCUAAGUGAGGCUCACGAGACGCGGACCGAGGCAUCUGGGACGGAGAGUGAACUGGUGCACCGCAAGACGCCGUCCAUACACUCGGACCUGAGCGACGCUGAGAGUGACUCCCCAGAACAUGUCCAGCAGCACCGGCCUGUCAAGAUGGUGACUGCCUUAGACGCCACCACCAGUUUCCAGGAGUCUGGGAUCUUCGACACGUCUUGCGAGCUGGUUCACGUCACCACACAGACCGACCUGUCACAGGUGUCUGUGUUGGAUCAUGAGGUCGACCUCGACAAGUCUGAGUGUGACAUCCAGCAGGCGGAGGUUGACCUACAGAGUGCCGUGGCUCGCCUGGCUGCCAUAAGGUCUACUGUACAGGGUCGCGACCUGAGACACCUGAGACUCCAAGACCUACAGGAGAGUGAUGAAUACCUCAAGGCGGCCCUGGAUGACGAGCGGGUGAGUCUGACUAAGCUGGAGUAUGACAGCAUCGUGGAGGGUGAGCGGUGUCUUCAGCGGGAACUUGAACACCUCAAGUGCGAGAAGGAACAGCUGAUACUCGAGUGUGAAUCCAUCAAGGAUCAGUUUAGAAAAUACAGCUCAGGCCAUGGGACAGACGCAGAAGAAGCCCUGAAGGGUGAGAUUCGCGUCCUGAGGCAGCGACUUACAGCGUCUGAGAGAGCGCGACGAGAGGUAUUUGAUGAAAAGUGUGAACUGGAAGAGGAGGAAAACGACUCGCGUCUUAUGGUUCAGAGGUUGGAGUCACAGAUGGAGGCAGCACGGGAGAUGGAGAAUCUGCUCAGUGCUUCUCUAUCCCAGGAACAGGAGAUCUCCAGAGAGCUACACCGACGAGUCAGAGAUUUACAGGUACUUGAGAAGGAACACCGAGGGCGUUUUGUGAAGUUAGAAUCUGUAAUUCGCAGAGCUGAAGAAAAAGCAUCUAACCUUGCCAAGGCCAGAGAUGCACUGGCUAUGCAGCUCAAUUUUGCAACUUAUGGGCUACUUAUAGCUGAUUACUGGAGACAUAUGGUACCACAGUCAACUGCUGCCCUCGUCCCAUACAGUGACAAGUCACUGCAAGUGUUUCCCGGAAACUACCCCACGAAGACCCACAACAUGGGGGAAAGUUACUCUGAAAAUGCCAUUAAAAGUGUGUCUGUGUGUGAUGUCUGCAAACAAACCUGUCUAGAGCUCCCCAAAAGAAAUGCUGGUGUACAGACCCAGUUUGAGUACCAGAGUAAGUCCACAGCAAAUUAUCAGCUUCAUCCUGAGGAACACGGCCAUCGACGAGCUGCUGAUGAGAAGGAUGAGGAUGAACCUGUCAAUAAACGACCAAGAAACAUAUCUACCAGGAGCCAGGCCACGAUGACCCAAAAGACAGAGUCCCUCUCUGAACGUGAACAGUACUACCUAGAGCAGAUUGAGUUCUUGCAAAAGGAGAAAAUCAAUCUUAGAAAGGGUCAAGAUAAUGACAGGCGUGACUCUCUACAGCAGCACCGUGAUUUAGAAGGCGAAAUUAAUGACGUAAGACUUCAACUCGAGGAAGCUGCACGUGAUAAAUGCAGUCUGUUAUUUCGCUUAGAAGAAGCUCAGGAUGAAAAGGAAGAAGUCAGACGUAAUUUACUUUUACGUAUAGAAGAACUGAAGGGUGAUAUGUCUCGUUACAAUGAUCUCCAUGAAUUGGAAAAGAAAACACUUCGUCAGGAGUUUGACGCUCGGCUCCAGGGGGUGCAGAAGGAACGCAACCAUCAAGAAGAGCGAGUGCGACAGUUGGAACUCCAGCUUUCAACCUUGAGGCAGGAGCUAGAGAUAGUUGGUGUUUCCAUAGCAAAUGAUCUCGUUGAUAUGGAUUCACACAUGGAAAAUGUCUUGUCGUGCGGUAGAAAGUCGCCAACGAAGCAUAGUGAAGAUAAUAGCGACCUUUUAGAUAAGAUCAGAGAAUUAGUUAAAUCAGAAACGAAUCUCAGACAAAAAAUUUAUGAUCUUGAGAAAAAGGAAUGUGCAUACCGUGAGACAAUAAGAGAAGCUGACAAGAUCAUGUCCAGCCAUGUAACAUCAUACAAGCAACGAAUAGAAGAUCUGGAGGCUGCCGCAGAUCAACAGUCUUUGAAAAUUCACCAGUUGGAGACGUCUGAGGAACGCUUGAGGACAAGUUUAAGAAAUAAUGCAAGAACUAGUGAAGGUGCACGUAUCUCUGACCUUUUGGACCACCUCAUUGAAACUGAAAAUUCUGAACUAAAACUGAAGGAGCAUGUGUGGAACCUUGAAAAGCGUGAAAAGGAACUCCAGAUAAAAUUAAUGGAAGCUGAGAAAACCAACCAAGCACUUCGUGGAGAACUACGCGACCAAGAGGAACUUGUCCACCGCCUCAUGACCUUGGAAACAGAGAAUAAUGCCCUGUCUGUUGAACUGAACCAGGCCCAGGACUCCUCUCGCAAAAUAUCUGAAGCUCAACAGAAUGAGAGCUACUUAAGGGGUCGUGUAGAGGAGCUUGAAGUCACAGAAAAUAUGUUACGAGAAACCCUUCACCAAGCUGAUCUUAUUCUGGCUCAGAGAGAAAGAAAGCUUAGAGACCAGGUGGAAUGUCUUCAAGAGGAAGUACAGUCAUACAAGGCUCAACUAGAGGCUGCUGCAUCAAAGGAAUAUGGUGCAAGGGAGUCUGAAGUGUCUUACAGAAGGAAAAUGGAGCAGCUGCGUAACCGCUUAGCUGACACUGAACGGGAGCUGAAGGAAUCGUCCUCUGAAACAAUCAGUCACGAGACACAACAUCGGUCAGAGGUAACAAAGCUUCGUAAUCAGUUGAAGCUGUGCAACUCGCAGCUGAUGGAGCUCGAUCGACUAAACUGUGAAUUACGUGAUCGGGUAAUGGCGGCAGAAGCAGAAGGGCAGCGUAUAGCCAAAGAAUUAGACGAGAGUGGCAGAAGACAUGAGCAGGAUCUUCUCACUCUCAACCUCCAGGUAUCAUCACGAGAUUCUCAAGUGGAGGAACUUGAGCACCAGUUGGAACAGAUGAGUCAUGCACAUGCUGCCAGUGAGUUGGAUGCCCUUGCUGCAUCACCCAUUGCUACGCUUCAUUCUUCCCUCACUGCUCUCACCACAGCUCUUAAAAGCUGUGAGUCGUGUAAUGCAUCUCAGAGUAGCACUCUAGCUGAUGUGACAAAUCAGCUGGGCACUCUGGUUGAGCUUGUUGAGGGCCAACCCAGCAAUCCAAACCUGGAGGACAUUACUUCUGAUGCUGACGAAGACGACGUAUCAGAAUCUUAUGACACAGACACAGCAGAAAACUUGGUCAACGAAGCCACUACGACCCCCCCUCCCAACCCCGCCGGGGAGGGGCCCAGGGAACAGUCGAGCGGGGAUACUGUCAACUGCAUCGCCAGCGGAAGGUUCCAAAGAAAUGCCCGCAGGAGAAGCAGAAGGCGGUUAGAGGAGCGCAGCAGCAGAAGGCUGGUGUGCCCUCAGGGCUCCUCCACAAUCCUGGAGGAGCUGGAGGAGAAGGUACGGGAGCUGGAGGAGGCUGUUGGUCACAAGGAGGAGGAGCUCCGUCUUGCUGAUAAUGAGGCUUGUGACCUUAACAAUCAGUUACAGUCUCGGAAUGUUACCAUCCAGCAAAAGAGUGAAGAGGCGGAGCAUCUUAAUACCAUCUUGGCCAGCCUUCGCCAGCAACUGGUGCACACUAUGGAGGAUGCCGAGCGUGCACGACUCUCAGUCCAGGCCAAGCAUAAGGUGGACCUGGAGGAGUUAACAAAACGAGUGGAGCAGGCGACAGAAAAAGCUGAACAUUUGGCUCGCCGGGGCCAGCUCAAGGAUUCUAUCAUCUAUACACUUGCCUCACAGAUCCGUGCAAUCCUCAGAUCGGGCAACAUGGGCGUAAUAAUCAACCAACUGCGCCGACUGAGCGAGGUUGGCCAGAGUGAACAAUUACCAAAUUUUGGUAACAGAGAUGACCAACAGCUGACUUCUGUUACCCCGCUGCCCCCUGUGCCAGACUUUGAUGUUGAUGCUGUCUGCUCAUUCCUCAAUCAACCCAGUGAGGACAUGAAUAUCUAAAAAAAAUGACUUGGAAUACGGAGAUAACCAGAGACGGGAUAGUGCCACUCCUGUUGGAAGAUGGCUUCCUUGUCUCAAUCUGCCAUCUUGAAUGGGAUGGAGCCAUCUAGUCACGUGACCCUCGAGUCUGACACCUCACUAGCUCCUUCUCAUAAUGAGUCGGAGCCCUCUAGUCACGUGACCUUCCGAGGCUCUCCUUCAUU